rnacentral:lncRNA from 1 species
UUGGUAGUUAUAUUGUGUUUAAUAGUGUCUGUGGAUCAUCUAUUGGGUUAAUGGGUAAGAUAACACAUAUUCUCAAGAGUUGAGAAUUUGAGACAUGUGCCAAUCUUAGUUAACUUAUAAAUUACUCUCAAUUGAUCCUCACGAGGAUGGUGAUCGAUCUGAAAUAUUGGUGUAUGAUAGCUUUCUUCGGAUAGAUGAGUCUUGAAUCUACGAUGUAGAGACACCAGAGUGAAAGUACAGAUACAUGUUAAGAAUAAGAAUACUAAGUAUGACCAUUUACGAACAGUCACAAGGAUAUCUAUCUUCUCAUCAGUGACAUGUUCAUAGCUGCGAUUAUGUAUUUAGUUCUCUGAUCUGAGGUGCAUCAGUAGUUCACCUUAAGGAUGCUGUAGUUUGACUCCACCAUAACUCGGUCUCCUUGCCAUACAGAGCCUUAAGGUGUAUAUUGGUUGUAGUAUGUUUAUUGUAGAAAUUGGAUUAUAUCAAGAUGAGAUCUAUCGACCUCGAUAGAGGAGCAGUCUUAUGUAGAUCAUGAGAUUGAGUCCAAAAGCCCAUGGCCAUGGCAGUGUGAAAGAUAGAAAAUAAUUUCUAUUGAGUUUUAUAUCGGAUUUGAAUCGAUUGAUUCUAUCAUAUGACAGACAUGAGAUUUGACGAGUUUAUCUUGACCUCAAUUUCAUCGAAACUCACGAUAAAAGAACUGAAUCACACGGUAACAGCACCUAAAGGUUCAUCCUUUAGUUCUGCAAGAUUGUCACUACAUAUUGCUAGGUGUCACUAGUAGAUUAUAGGACUAAUUAGAAUUAUUUUGAUGAUCAAUAAUUCUAAUUAGUUGAAUUAGAAAGAGUUUCAAUCCACCAAAAAGAGUUUCAAUGAUGUUGAUAAUAGAGAUCAUAAUAUAUCUCACUACCAGACAGAAUUGGAUCUAUAGGGUCACACAAAUAAGGGUUUUGGUCUUGGAUUGCAUAAUUAGGCUAAGUAUAGUCUACUUGGGGUUAGGAGUUAUUAAGUCCUAGCUUUGGGUUUAAGAAAACCAUGCUAGCAUAUGGUUAAACCUAUUUUCUCCUCCUUAAUUUUGGAUCCUAUUAGAUAGGGUUUAAUCAAUUUGGCACAAGCUCCAAUUGGGUUCCAAAUGUAGGUUCACCCAAGUAUGAAUUUAACAAAAUUAGGUUAGAUUUGGGGGGGUGC